CCAGCAGCCGCGGUAAUACGUAGGUAGCAAGCGUUGUCCGGAAUUACUGGGUGUAAAGGGAGCGUAGGCGGGGAGACAAGUUGAAUGUUUAAACUAUGGGCUUAACCCAUAGUCGCGUUCAAAACUGUUUUUCUUGAGUGAAGUAGAGGCAGGCGGAAUUCCUAGUGUAGCGGUGAAAUGCGUAGAUAUUAGGAGGAACACCAGUGGCGAAGGCGGCCUGCUGGGCUUUAACUGACGCUGAGGCUCGAAAGCGUGGGUAGCAAACAGGAUUAGAUACCCUGGUAGUCCACGCUGUAAACGAUGAUUACUAGGUGUGGGGGGACUGACCCCUUCCGUGCCGGAGUUAACACAAUAAGUAAUCCACCUGGGGAGUACGGCCGCAAGGUUGAAACUCAAAGGAAUUGACGGGGGCCCGCACA
rnacentral:rRNA from 1 species